rnacentral:rRNA from 1 species
CUUGCUCUUCUGGAUGAGUUGCGAACGGGUGAGUAACGCGUAGGUAACCUGCCUGGUAGCGGGGGAUAACUAUUGGAAACGAUAGCUAAUACCGCAUAAGAGUAGGUGUUGCAUGACAUUUGCUUAAAAGGUGCAAUUGCACCACUACCAGAUGGACCUGCGUUGUAUUAGCUAGUUGGUGGGGUAACGGCUCACCAAGGCGACGAUACAUAGCCGACCUGAGAGGGUGAUCGGCCACACUGGGACUGAGACACGGCCCAGACUCCUACGGGAGGCAGCAGUAGGGAAUCUUCGGCAAUGGACGGAAGUCUGACCGAGCAACGCCGCGUGAGUGAAGAAGGUUUUCGGAUCGUAAAGCUCUGUUGUAAGAGAAGAACGAGUGUGAGAGUGGAAAGUUCACACUGUGACGGUAUCUUACCAGAAAGGGACGGCUAACUACGUGCCAGCAGCCGCGGUAAUACGUAGGUCCCGAGCGUUGUCCGGAUUUAUUGGGCGUAAAGCGAGCGCAGGCGGUUAGAUAAGUCUGAAGUUAAAGGCUGUGGCUUAACCAUAGUACGCUUUGGAAACUGUUUAACUUGAGUGCAAGAGGGGAGAGUGGAAUUCCAUGUGUAGCGGUGAAAUGCGUAGAUAUAUGGAGGAACACCGGUGGCGAAA